rnacentral:rRNA from 1 species
UCUCAAUAGGCGAAGAACUCUGGAAUGAGUCUUCACCAGAAAAGAGCCUGCGUUAUGCUCGUAGGUUUCGCCUAAGGAUGAGGCCGCGACCGAUCAGGUUGUUGGUGAGGUAAUGGCUCACCAAGCCUUUUACCGGUGCGGGCCGUGAGAGCGGGAGCCCGGAGAUGGGCACUGAGACAAGGGCCCAGGCCCUACGGGGCGCAGCAGUCGCGAAAACUUUGCAAUACACGCAAGUGUGACAGGGCUAUCCCGAGUGCCAUCCGCUGAGGAAGGCUUUUACCCAGUCUAGAAAGCUGGGGGAAUAAGGAGAGGGCAAGUCUGGUGUCAGCCGCCGCGGUAAUACCAGCUCUCCGAGUGGUGUGGAUGUUUAUUGGGCCUAAAGCAUCCGUAGCUGGCUAGGUCAGUCCCUUGUUAAAUCCACCGAAUUAAUCGUUGGAUUGCGGGGGAUACUGCCUGGCUAGGGAACGAGAGAGGCAGACGGUAUUCUCGGGGUAGGGGUGAAAUCCUAUAAUCCCGGGAAGACCACCAGUGGCGAAGGCCGUCUGCUAGAACGCGUCCGACGGUGAGGGAUGAAAGCUGGGGGAGCGAACCGGAUUAGAUACCCGGGUAGUCCCAGCUGUAAACGAUGCAGGCUAGGUGUUUGGACGGCCACGUGCCGUUCUAGUGCCGCAGGGAAGCUGUUAAGCCUGCCGCCUGGGGAGUACGAUCGCAAGAUUGAAACUUAAAGGAAUUGGCGGGGGAGCACCACAAGGGGUGAAGCUUGCGGUUUAAUUGGAGUCAACGCCGGGAAGGGC